GCACGCGCGCUACGUCCCUCAGACUGGCUGCCCCCGAGGGUUCGCGUGAGCGGAGCACGGGGCUCGGGGUGCGGGGGGCUGGUGUGAUGGACGCAUUUGUUCUUCGGUCCCUGACGAUUGUUUCUCAUUUGCCCUCCAAGCCCCAAAUCCUGUCAGUCCACGGCCUUGAUGGAGCGGCCCCCGUGGGACGACCCUGUUGAUUGUGCUAGCGGAUGUUGUCUCCAUUCUGGAUCUGGGAAAAACUGUGGAGUGAAAGCCGGACCUGUUAGGGUUGGGACCUGAAAGCGGACUUUUUCGCUCUCAGACGGGCCCCAGGUACAGUGAGAGGGGAGUUUGUGUGGUGGUUGUGAGCUUGAGCUUUGGAGAGAGAGAUCUGUGACCUUGGGCAGGUGACCUCUCCGAGCCUCGGUUUCCUCGCCGUAAAAUGAAGAUCCUAAUAGUCCCUACCAGAAGGUUGUGAAUGAGACAAUAGAUGGAAGCCCUUUGCGCGGCCCCUGCACCCGUAAACGCUCAAUCUUAGUUCUUACUCUUGUUGUUUUAAGUGUGCAGGCAAGAUAGACACAGAUACAUAAAAACUGUUUAAGACCACUUCUCUUUUUUUUCUUUCUUUCUUUUUUUUUUUUUUUUUUUUUUUUUGAGACGGAGUCUCGAUCUGUCGCCCAGGCUGGAGUGCAGUGGCGCGAACUAGGCUCACCGCAAGCUCCGCCUCCCGGCUUCACGCUAUUCUCCUGCCUCAGCCUCCCGAGUAGCUGGGACUACAGGCGCCCGCCACCACGCCCCGCUAAUUUUUUUGUAUUUUUAGUAGAGACGGGGUUUCACCGUGUUAGCCAGGAUGGUCUCGAUCUCCUGACCUCGUGAUCCGCCCGCCUCGGCCUCCCAAAGUACUGGCGUGAGCCACCGCGCCGGGCCCCCACUUCUCAACUGAUGACUGCGACACUCCCUUGAGGGUAAAACUAACUUCUGGCCACCUCCACAACUGUAAACCUGGUGUCACUCUUGGUGACUCCACCUCAGCUAAGGCCCCCACUUCCUGAUCUGCCUCCAGCCCCCUUGGGCAGCACUCCCUGGUGGGGCAGUGUGGACGUUGGCUGGAAUCCGUCAGGUGGUGACCUACCUUCCCCUCCUCCACCAGACGGGAGCUCUUUCAGGCCAGUGGUUUGUUGUUCAUCAAGAUAUCCAAGUACCCGGCAACAUUCCUGGCAUAUAAUAGGAAGGCAGAUCUGGUGAAUGAAUGAAUGAAUGGCGGUAUCUGGAGCAGAGACAAUGAAUUUCAUGUUUAACAGAGGUGUCUUCAAGGAGAUGAAACAAUUCAGAAUGACCUAGGCAAUGGGGUAAUUCCUAAGUAUUGUAGGUCAAGAUAUUGGUUACCUAUGAGGGGGUGAUGCCUGGAGGAAGACCUAAGGGGAGGUCUUCUGGAUACUGAGUGCAUGGGAACAAGCUAUUCAUUCAUACAGCAUGGACGAAUAUUAAAUGCAUGUUGCUGAGUGAAAGAAGCCAGAAUGAUAAGGCUACAUCCUGGAAAAGUUUAUAUUCUGGAAAAGGCAAAACUUAUAGAGACAGAAACAAAUCAGCCAGUUGUUGCUGGGGUUUGGGAGAGAAGAAUGUUGACUAUGUGAAGAACAAGGGAUCUUGGGGGGCAUCUAUUCCAUAUGCUACUGUAGGGGUGGAUGCAUGAUACUAUCAUUUGUGGAAAACCAUAGAACUUUACAAAACUAACAGUGAACCUUAAUGUCUGCAAAAUUUUACAAAAUCAACUAGGAGGCUGGGGGAUCCCAGGAUGAAAUACAGGCAAUGACAAAAGAGCCUAACUCUAUUACACAUUUAUAACAUAACCGCACCGAAGAGGACUGGUAUUCUAUAACUGUGGAAAUAAUGGAAACUGGAAAACUGAAGACAAAAGGAACUGUACUUAGCACUAUACUCUAGUUGGUAAAGGCGUUUCUCAAGGGGUACCAGUUAACAAUUCUGAGACUGCUGUACAUGUAUGCAGAGACUGAACAAAUAAGUAAAUGGCUGGUACAUGCUCACUCUCAGGGAGGGAGGCCACAGAUAAACAAGAGGAAGAGGCUCUAAUGUCAUGUGUGGUUGUGGAUUAGAACCAGAAACAUAAAUAUGAACUCAUGUUUAGAUUAAUAUAGAUAUUAAUGGAUUGAUAUAGAAAUAAUGAUGAUAUGGGUAUAUAUACAGGUUAGUAUACAGUCAUAUAUUUCUUAUCCCUAUCCACUGAGAGGGCCUAGAAACAACAAUACUCCAGUAGCAACACACACAUCUCGUGCCCAUAUCUUGAUUUCUUUUGCCAUUUCCUAACAAAAGGAGCCAGGACUUCUUGGAGAAAUGGCUGAUUCUAAGACUGGGUCAGAGAGUAUACCAGAUGACGCUGGCACAUCUUCUACUGCUAGAAAGUAAGGAAAUGCUCAAAAAAUAAAACCACGGAGAUAUUUCAAAGGAACACAGAAGCCAAGUGGAACAGCUCCCAGUGGCCAAAGCUGGAAAAAUUGGGGCAAAAAAAAAAAAAAAAGUAUUAGGUUAUAAUCCAAAAUAUAAAAUAAAUAAUCACCAGCCCGUACUAAUGUGCAUAAAUUAUUGAAUAAAUAAGUAAAUGGGUGAAAAGAGAAAACUCUCUCCCAUACAAAGGAAGCCCAAAUAAUUUAUGUAGAUGAUCGCCCUGCAAUGAGGCAGAGGGCAACUCCCUACCCUGUGUUAAGUGUGGAUGGCACUUAGAGACUUGCUUCUGAAGAGCGCAAUACGGAAAGGAGGGGAGAAGUAACUUGGCAAUGAAGAAACCUGACAAACACCAUCUUCUCCAGGCAGCCAAGGUUAACACCAUCAGUGAUAAGUUACGUUGAUAGCCUGUAUUUUUGAUAUGAUGUGUUGAGAAUGUACUUAGUUUCUGUGGUCUUCUUCCCAAACACCUGACACCAGGCUCACCAGGAGAAAAUGAAUCCAAAUUAAGGGACAUUCUACAGAAUACCUGACCAACACUCCCUCCUAAAAACUGUCAAGGUCAUCAAGGAAUGUCUAGGAAGAAGGAAAGUCUGAGAAGUUGUCUCAGCCCAGAGGAGCCUUAAGAAGCCAUGACAGGGUCUCCAUCUGCCUCCCAGGCUGGAGUACAGCGG